rnacentral:lncRNA from 1 species
GUCCGCGUGUGGAAGUCUGUGAGGCGCAGAGGUGGGGCAGGCCGUCUGGCUAGCUAGGCGGCUGGGAGCGUUUUCGUGGCGGGGAACGGAGGUUGAAUUGCCCUGCCUGGGCUCAUAGGGAAGGAGGAUGUGAAGGAGCUUGUGAAGGCAGAGGAAGGCUGGAGUGCAGUGGCACAACCUUGGCUCGCUCCAGUGUCUACCUGCCAGGUUCAAGUGAUUCUCCUGCCUCAGCCUCCCGAGUAGCUGGGAUUACAGAUUAUUGAAUAAUAAAAUACAGUUUUGAAAAAAAUGGAUGAAGAACCUGAAAGAACUAAGCGAUGGGAAGGAGGCUAUGAAAGAACAUGGGAGAUUCUUAAAGAAGAUGAAUCUGGAUCACUUAAAGCUACAAUAGAAGACAUUCUAUUCAAGGCAAAGAGAAAAAGAGUAUUUGAGCACCAUGGACAAGUUCGACUUGGAAUGAUGCGCCACCUUUAUGUGGUAGUAGAUGGAUCAAGAACAAUGGAAGACCAAGAUUUAAAGCCUAAUAGACUGACGUGUACUUUAAAGUUGUUGGAAUACUUUGUAGAGGAAUAUUUUGAUCAAAAUCCUAUUAGUCAGAUUGGAAUAAUUGUAACUAAGAGUAAAAGAGCUGAAAAAUUGACUGAACUUUCAGGAAACCCAAGAAAACAUAUAACGUCUUUGAAGAAAGCUGUGGAUAUGACCUGCCAUGGAGAGCCAUCUCUUUAUAAUUCCCUAAGCAUGGCUAUGCAGACUCUAAAACACAUGCCUGGACAUACAAGUCGAGAAGUACUAAUCAUCUUUAGCAGCCUUACAACUUGCGAUCCAUCUAAUAUUUAUGAUCUAAUCAAGACCCUAAAGGCAGCUAAAAUUAGAGUAUCUGUUACUGGAUUGUCUGCAGAAGUUCGCGUUUGCACUGUACUUGCUCGUGAAACUGGUGGCACGUACCAUGUUAUUUUAGAUGAAAGCCAUUACAAAGAGUUGCUCACACAUCAUGUUAGUCCUCCUCCUGCUAGCUCAAGUUCUGAAUGCUCACUUAUUCGUAUGGGAUUUCCUCAGCACACCAUUGCUUCUUUAUCUGACCAGGAUGCAAAACCCUCUUUCAGCAUGGCGCAUUUGGAUGGCAAUACUGAGCCAGGGCUUACAUUAGGAGGCUAUUUCUGCCCACAGUGUCGGGCAAAGUACUGUGAGCUACCUGUUGAAUGUAAAAUCUGUGGUCUUACUUUGGUGUCUGCUCCCCACUUGGCACGGUCUUACCAUCAUUUGUUUCCUUUGGAUGCUUUUCAAGAAAUUCCCCUAGAAGAAUAUAAUGGAGAAAGAUUUUGUUAUGGAUGUCAGGGGGAAUUGAAAGACCAACAUGUUUAUGUUUGUGCUGUGUGCCAAAAUGUUUUCUGUGUGGACUGUGAUGUUUUUGUUCAUGAUUCUCUACACUGUUGCCCUGGCUGUAUUCAUAAGAUUCCAGCUCCUUCAGGUGUUUGAUUCCAGCAUGUAGUAUACAUUGUAUGUGUUAAAAAGAAAUUUGCAACUGUGAAUAAAAGGACUUCUUUAGAAGAAGCUUCAUUUAAAACAUGAAAGGAUAAUCUGACUUAAGAAACUUUUUGCUAAGAAAAGGUAAUAUUUUAUUAAAUUUUAAAUUUGUGUUGUCACAGAAAUACCUGAAAUUCAGUAGUACUUCAUUCAAUUAAUUUUGUUUUCUAUUAUUUUGAGUUAUACUGUUUUCAAAGUCAUUAUGCAGUAUGUAUAAACUUAUAAGAAUUAAAUUGAUGUGAUAAUUUUAUGUUUUUAUAAUUAAAUAUAGAAUCUUU